ensembl:snoRNA LOC120094537 small nucleolar RNA U3
AAGACUAUACUUUCAGGGAUCAUUUCUAUAGUUCGUUACUAGAAAAAGGACUGAACGAAAUGAAGAGUUUUGCAACUCCAUAGGA